rnacentral:lncRNA from 1 species
CGUUUCCCUCGAUUCCGGCCCCGGGCGCCCCCUGGUGGCUGUUCCUCGCCGGCGCAGUUUUCUUUUUCCGGAACUGCAGGACGAGCCCUGCAGUAAGAGCAAAGCCUGGGGAUCCCAGCUCGGGCCUCGGGUGCCUUGGGCUCUGCGCACGUUUAUCCCUGGGAGACGAAUUCCAGGGCAGGUCCCUGGUUAGACCACAGCUGCUUUCAGCUUCCUCAUGCGCGAACCAGCAGGGACCUCAGCAGGCCCUUCCAGGCCUUCCUCCCAGGAAUCCGGGGACCCUCGAGGUGUCUCCAGCACUGAAGGGAUCUGCUAACCUCCCAGCAUUCCUGAAAAUGCUCCUCCUAUCCCGAGCCCCCCACCAAACACCUUCGGGUAUGACCCAGAACUGGAUUCUAUACAAAAAUCAUGUGCAGAUGUAUUUUUUUCCCCUUCUCACUUCACUUUUUAAGAAAAUACAAACCUUUUCUUCAAUGCCCUUUAAAAAUAAAUUAGUUAUAUCAGGUACGUAGGGUUCAUUUUAUUAUUCUUUCUACUUCUGUGUCUGCAGAACAUUUCCCAUA